rnacentral:tRNA from 1 species
GAGGUAUUAGUAAAAAAUUACAUGACUUUGUCAAAGUCAAAUUAUAGGUGAGAAUCCUUUAUACCUCU